rnacentral:rRNA from 1 species
GAUGAACGCUGGCGGCGUGCCUAAUACAUGCAAGUCGAGCGAACAGAUGAGGAGCUUGCUCCUCUGACGUUAGCGGCGGACGGGUGAGUAACACGUGGAUAACCUACCUAUAAGACUGGGAUAACUUCGGGAAACCGGAGCUAAUACCGGAUAAUAUAUUGAACCGCAUGGUUCAAUAGUGAAAGACGGUUUUGCUGUCACUUAUAGAUGGAUCCGCGCCGCAUUAGCUAGUUGGUAAGGGAACGGCUUACCAAGGCAACGAUGCGUAGCCGACCUGAGAGGGUGAUCGGCCACACUGGAACUGAGACACGGUCCAGACUCCUACGGGCGGCAGCAGUAUGGAAUCUUCCGCAAUGGGCGAACGCCUGACGGAGCAACGCCGCGUGAGUUAUGAAGGUCUUCGGAUCGUAAAACUCUGUUAUUAGGGAAGAACAAAUGUGUAAGUAACUAUGCACGUCUUGACGGUACCUAAUCAGAAAGCCACGGCUAACUACGUG